rnacentral:lncRNA from 1 species
UGAAGGUGGCAGCAAUAAUAUUUGCCCAAACCUUGGUUCCAACAGGGUCAGACAGACUGAGCUUUCAUUACAUGAAAGGAAAAGGUAGGAACACCGAAUGGGCUCUAUUUUCCCUGGACUCCUAGACAAAGUGGAUCUGUCUCUAUCUAGGCUGUGGCCAGGAGGCCACUUUCUCCAGAUGUUAUAUUUAGCUAAAGGAAUCUCCAACGCGGCCUCAUGCAAAAUGUGAAGUAUGUCCCAGCAGGCGUAACCACAAACCAGAGGGCCAGCAGGGGCACCCCUGAAGGGAGUUAGGCAGCACAAAGGGGUUGACUGUGCAGCCACCCUGACAUCCCCAAAUGAGCUGAAUUAGCUGUGAGCCAGAUUUUUGGCCAGUUCUCACAUUUAAUGAGUCUUUGUUUCCCUCUUACUAGAGAUUCUGACCCUGGGGAGAAAAAUAUGCUGCCUAUUUCAAGCCAACUCCCAGCUGAUUGCUCAGCACCAGACCACUUGGAUCCAAGACACGGCUUUCCUGCUCACGCGCUAUCCAUCAGCUACAACCCACACCUGACUUAUCCUGGUCUUGCUGCUUGCAUGUAAACUAUGAAGACCUGACUUGGAUAAAUGAGAAGAUCCACUCGCCCACCAGUUCUCCACGGCUUCUGCAGACCCUAGACUUCUUCAUCCAUACCCCAGGCCUUGGCACUAGCAUUCUGCAAACUACAGGAAAGAAUAAACAAAAAAAGGCCACUGAACUCUCCUGAUGUAUGCUGGGUACAAUCCAAAUGCUGGAGUACAAAGACUUUGCACUCAACCCCAGUUAGAUCCACAGAACUAAGGACCUAGAAAUCCUCUUGGAUAUUAUAAAUACCCCCUUUAAGCCCCCUAAAAUAGGCUGUGAUUACAUCCAAAAUCUGAGCUAACUAAAUCAUUCAAUUAGGCUAAAACACCACAGAAAGGGCCAGGGAUUUUAGCUCAGCAGUUCUGCCACCUGCCUCACAAGCACAAAGACCCGAGUUCGAUCCCCGGUACCAGAAAAAAAAACCAAACAAACAUCACAGAAAGAGGUACAGUCAUAACACGGGUGUAAUCGAUGACCAAGAGUUACACGUUUCUGUUUAAGAGGAAAUUAUAACCAUCUAUGUUACACUGACAUUUGGAUCCACAUAUUCCAUAGGAAAACUUGUGAAUAAUCCUACAAUUAUAGCCUUGGUUUUUUUC